UUCGAGGCCUGGCGGCAGGAGCGCGAAGAGGGGGGCCUGGCAGGGCGGGCCCAGCUGCAGUCUCCCGAGAGGGCCCCGGCCGCCGCAUCCCUGUCCCUGGGUCCAGGGGGCCGAACAGGGUUCCGGGCAGGCUGGGGGGCCCCGUUGACCCCCAUCAGCCCGGCCGGACCGGAGGGGCGUGGCCAGCGCCAGGGGGAGGGGCCGGGGAGAGACGCCGGGGAGGGCGGCAGGGUCCGGCUGGGCGCGGGCUGCCGCGCGGAGCCCCCAUCCUGGGCUAUUUAUAGCCCCCGCGGACCCCGCUUCCAGGCGGGGAGGACUCGUCGCCCCUCCUCCAGCGCCGGAGGACCUCGCGCACCCCGGCGUCCCGAGCUGCCGCGCCCUCCGUCCGUGCCCUUCGGAGACGGGGCAGCGCCGGGGUCUUCGGUGCGUCCCGCUCCCGGCCGUGACUCGGUGGCUCCGGAAGGCCGGACAACCCCCGCACCCCGCUCCGCCCUCCCUGGCCUGACCCGGCGUCCGCGCGUCCGCCGCCCGCCCGCCGGGCUGUACGACAGGGGCGACCCCAACGCGAGCCACCGACCUUCGCGUCCAGAUCAACUCGGGCCAGGCUGUGGGACCUCGGAUGAGAGAUUGAACGUCUGUGCCUCGGUUUGCCCCCUCUGCAAAAUGGGUACCACAGUAAGACCUUUAUGAACUUUCCCUGCCUGGCAUCCCCGGGCUUCCCAUGUCUGCCUGUCUUCCCCUCUUCCUCCCCCCGGGUACCCCCGCUGCCCACAUGGGGAGACUUCCCAUCUUUUUGAGGAACCAAGAGCUGUUUUUUUGAAUGAUCUCUUACUUCAUUUCCACUUGACGUCCCCACAUCUGGCGUGGUUGUCCACACUCGCGGAGUCAGACCCAGAUGGCUCCACAGUUGCCCCACCGCGAGCACUGGGUCCCUCUCGCUGACAUUUAUAGCCCAUCCCUAGGGAGUCUGUCACUCCACAUGAGCUGUGCUUGUUCCCAGAGUGGAAAUGGAUUUCUGGGCUUAUUUCUAAUUGUAAAAACAAUGCCAUGAAAACGGGGGUGGGGGGCGGAAUCCACAUGAUUGCAACAUGUGCAAGGAAGCAUCAUCCUAACACACGGAAGGUGUCGGGCCCCCACCAUGCGUGCGUGACGGGCUGUGGCCCAGAGGCUGACCUCGGAGCCGGCGUGUAAGCCGACCUCCAGCUGCUGUCCUCACCUUGGACGCAUCCCGUCUCCCCACGGCUGACGGGGGCGAGCAGGGGCGGGGAGCCCCCACCGUGGGUGCCCGGGGCUGCCGUUCAAACCCAGGACCGCUUGGGUCUCCUCUGAGACCCAGAAAAUACUAACUGGUCUCCAGGGGUCACAGAGGAGAUAGGGCUGGCCCUCCCCCUUGAGGG
rnacentral:lncRNA from 1 species